rnacentral:rRNA from 1 species
AACGGGGGAAACCCUGACGCAGCAACGCCGCGUGAGUGAUGAAGGCCUUCGGGUCGUAAAGCUCUGUCAGAGGGAAAGAAAUGUGGGCGGCUAAUAUCCGUUCCACUUGACGGUACCCUCAGAGGAAGCACCGGCUAACUCCGUGCCAGCAGCCGCGGUAAUACGGAGGGGGCGAGCGUUGUUCGGAAUUACUGGGCGUAAAGGGCANGUAGGCGGUNUUGUAAGCUUGACGUGAAAGACCACGGCUCAACCGUGGGAUUGCGUUGAGAACUGGGAGGCUUGAGUGACGGAGAGGGAGCUAGAAUUCCUGGUGUAGGGGUGGAAUCUGUAGAGAUCAGGAAGAAUACCAAUGGCGAAGGCAAGCUUCUGGCCGAUGACUGACGCUGAGGUGCGAAAGUGUGGGGAUCAAA